GCUUUCUUUGACGACACUUAUACUAACAUUGGAAUAAUACAGAGAAGAUAUGCAGGGCCCCUGUGCAAGCAUGACAUAAAGCCAAAAUUUACUAAGCAAUAUUAA